rnacentral:rRNA from 1 species
GACGAACGCUGGCGGCGUGCCUAAUACAUGCAAGUCGAGCGGACCAAAGGGAGCUUGCUCCUGGAGGUUAGCGGCGAACGGGUGAGUAACACGUGGGCAACCUGCCUGUAAGACUGGGAUAACAUCGAGAAAUCGGUGCUAAUACCGGAUAAUAAAAAGAACUGCAUGGUUCUUUUUUGAAAGAUGGUUUCGGCUAUCACUUACAGAUGGGCCGCGGCGCAUUAGCUAGUUGGUGAGGUAACGGCUCACCAAGGCAACGAUGCGUAGCCGACCUGAGAGGGUGAUCGGCCACACUGGGACUGAGACACGGCCCAGACUCCUACGGGAGGCAGCAGUAGGGAAUCUUCCGCAAUGGACGAAAGUCUGACGGAGCAACGCCGCGUGAGUGAUGAAGGUUUUCGGUAUCGUAAAACUCUGUUGUUAGGGAAGAACAAGUGCCGUUUCGAAAGGGCGGCACCUUGACGGUACCUAACGAGAAAGCCACGGCUAACUACGUGCCAGCAGCCGCGGUAAAG